rnacentral:lncRNA from 1 species
UAACCCCUGGCCCCUACCUUCGAAAUUUAAAACAUUGGUUGCUUAUACCCUGGUCCUGGAUAGAUUUGUCAGUUUUACUUUGGCUAGGGCUAGGUGUUUUCAAACCGACCAUUGAAUGUUUUCCCUCAACUUUAAAAAAACUUCCGUUUGUUCUGGAAUCUUUUAAACAUGCCAAUAACCCAUACACUGGAUGUCUACUCUGUGGCUCUACCUGCUUUUUCUAAGCCUGCUAGGACAUAGUCUUGGGGAAAACCUCCCCCGCUCUGAGUCUGAACCAUCCCAGUACAGCUAGCCCCUCAUGUCUGGCGGAAAGCUGCCCCACCUGGAGAGCGGUUCGCCAUGGCAGCCAGCCACUUCCCUCCCUUCCAACCUACAGCCAAACCAAAGGAACGAACAGAAACGUGAGGAGGCAAAGCCCGCAAAGCUUGUUCAGUACAGAGGGGUCUGGAGGACUGGGCCUCAAUCACAUUUUUUACAUACGUCAGUUUUAGAAACCUCUCACAAGACUGAGACUCCACCGCCGCAGUCAGGCACCGCAGCGCGCACGGGAAGGUACUGCUAACGGUCGCCAAGUGCGCGCCAGUUGGGAAGUUCCCGGAUGUUCUUACGACACCUGUGACGCCCGGAUGUUCUUACGACGCACGCCCAUUGUUGCGCAGGUACCAAAGAGUGCGCAUGUGCAGGAAGUAGUACUGAAGGAGGCGCAAAAAAAUGCCUUGACAUCAACGCGUAGAGUCCUACAAGUUCAACUAGGCUAUGUUCCGGAAGCAUUUGCCUUCCUUCUAGAAUUCUGUAUUUAAAGCUCCAACUUGACAAGAUCAUAUCCUUCAGCCUCACACAAGGCCUUUAGCUUCAGGUAAGUUGCUCAUUAACUUAGAGAAGAUAGUUCAGCGCUCGUGGUGCAGGUGAGUGGGUCUUACAGCAAAAGUCUGCUUCUACCUUGUGUAGUUUUGUUCAGCAUUGCUGUGUUGACUGAUGACCACUGGGUACAAGCUGAGCAGGAUGGCCUCAGGAAGGGGCUCUGCUGCUGAGGGUUGUCGACCUCUUG